UUCGUAAGACAGAUGUGAAAUCCCCGGGCUUAACCUGGGAACUGCGUUUGUGACUGCGAGACUGGAGUGUGGCAGAGGGGGGUGGAAUUCCACGUGUAGCAGUGAAAUGCGUAGAGAUGUGGAGGAACACCGAUGGCGAAGGCAGCCCCCUGGGUUAACACUGACGCUCAUGCACGAAAGCGUGGGGAGCAAACAGGAUUAGAUAACCUGGUAGUCCACGCCCUAAACGAUGCGAACUAGGUGUUGGAGAAGGAGACUUCUUUAGUACCGUAGCUAACGCGUGAAGUUCGCCGCCUGGGGAGUACGGUCGCAAGAUUAAAACUCAAAGGAAUUGACGGGGACCCGCACAAGCGGUGGAUGAUGUGGAUUAAUUCGAUGCAACGCGAAAAACCUUACCUACCCUUGACAUGCCAGGAACCCUGCUGAGAGGUGGGGGUGCUCGAAAGAGAGCCUGGGCACAGGUGCUGCAUGGCUGUCGUCAGCUCGUGUCGUGAGAUGUUGGGUUAAGUCCCGCAACGAGCGCAACCCUUGUCAUUAGUUGCCAUCAUUUAGUUGGGCACUCUAAUGAGACUGCCGGUGACAAACCGGAGGAAGGUGGGGAUGACGUCAAGUCCUCAUGGCCCUUAUGGGUAGGGCUUCACACGUCAUACAAUGGUCGGUACAGAGGGUUGCCAAGCCGCGAGGUGGAGCCAAUCCCAGAAAGCCGAUCGUAGUCCGGAUCGUA
rnacentral:rRNA from 1 species